CAUGGCAGGUGGCGGUAACGGAAGGAAACAGGUUUCCAGCCACGAGAGGAAGAAUGAGGUAGGAAAAAGUGGAAGGUACGGGCGCAAAAAAUUGGGGGUGAAGAAGAUGCUAGCGUGGGCUUGGAGGAUUAUAAUUUUGAAGAACAUGAAAGGGGAUACAGAAACUCCUGUUACUAAGUAACAUAUGAUGAUGUGUCGUGAUUUCUUUCUGCUUUGAAUUUCGAUUGCCAUAUGUACUCCCUGUGUAUAUGUAUAAUAUCUUUUUAUCAUGUAAUAUCUUCAAAAUGUU
rnacentral:sRNA from 1 species